rnacentral:sRNA from 1 species
UGAGAACGUCGGUCACUUGAUGGGCAGG